rnacentral:antisense_RNA from 1 species
UUGCCAGCCUUAUACCUGCACAAAAACGAAGAGAUGACAUGAUGGAUCCAAUCCAACCAAUUUGCUCUGAGGUGCCUUCCAACUCUUCUUGAAAGACCACAAAGAAAAUUGCAAAAGUCUUGGUCAUCCCCAUCACAAACACAUUCACCUAAAUCAAAGCAGACCAGAGUCCAACUCAGGUAGAAGAGUGUCUUCAUCUCUGCAUCCCUAGUGCAACAGAGCAUGAUAAAAAUUCAAUAAAUAUUUAUUGCAGAGUCUUGAUGUCUUUUGGGAAAGGAACUCUAUGGUUACCUUUACUCUAAGUUAAAAAACAACAACAACAACAAAAAAAAAACCCACAAAACCCUGAGGCUCAGAAGAUAAAUAUUUGCUGAAGAUCACUGUGCUUAUUAGAAGGGUGUUACUGAUUCUUACCUCAGAGAAGAGAAUGUCAUGGAGACAAAAUGACCUGCUUAGAGUUCUGCGCCCCCCAGCAUGGAGAGCAGAGCGCAAAGAUUUCCUCCAGACUCCCACAUUCUCCCUUGGAAUCCAAGAACUUGUCUACUAUCACAACACUUUAGUACCCACUUAGAUGGGGUCUCACUCUGUUGCCCAGGCUGGUCUCAAACUCCUGGCUUCAAGGAAUCCUCCUGCUUCGGCCUCCCAAACUUCUGGGAUUACAGAUAUGAGCCACCAUGGCUGACUGACGGGCACCAAAUUCUAGGAGAGGACUUGAAUAGGCUCCUAAGGAGGCAGCAGAAACCAAGGUAAUCACAAUGGUCAACAGCAGCGAAGGCAGCACUUUCUGAUUUUAAACUUGACUGCUAUGGAUGCCACCUCAGUUUAAU